GGUGAGAUGGCCGAGUUGGUCCAUGGCGCGAGGUUAAGGUAUUAAAAUCUUAACACGAUUUCCUCGUGGGGAAACCCUCGUGGGUUCGAAUCCCACUCUCAUCA